rnacentral:lncRNA from 12 species
AUUUUGUGCAACAGUAGCCAAGCUGAAGGGCUGAACAGAGACUAAAAUAUUUACUGUUUGGUCCUUUACAGAAAGCCUUUGCUGAUUCCUGUUCUAAAGAGAAGCCUGAACCUUGGGAAUGCACCAUGCCACAGGUAUCUGUUGCUGCGUUUUGCAGAAGGACCGACAGCUUUGGGGUCCAUGUCCCUUUUUCUGCCUCCAUGCUCAGCAUGCUGCUCUGGUCUUUCUUGGGAUAUGCAGGGCCCCUGGGGCCUGACUCGUUGAUAAGGAGCCAUUUCCGGAGAGUGCAGGCCCUGAGUGAGGAUCUUCACCCCAGAGACUGCAAUGGGCUGAGGACAGUGGCACGUGCUUGGGCAGCCCUGGCAUCACUUAACCCCAGAAGACACCAGUGCCCUGAGUGACACCUGGGUGGGGAUGGGGUGCACUGCUUUGGAAGGGGUCUCUAUGCCAGCUCUGCUUGGGCCUGGGUCUGUGUGUGUCAGGCUGGAGGCACAGGUGGCAGACUCAGCUGCUUCUGUGGCUGGGGCCUGGCCGCGGCCUCCUCUCAGCCCUCUCCCCAACUCUUUAACAGAGAAGGGCCCAGAGAGAGAGGCCUCUCCUCUAGGACAUCAUAAACAGCAGGUCAAGAGCCAAAGUCACAGCUUCCACCCUGCCUCGAGUAGGAAGAGCCUUUUCCCCCAGGACCUGCCACUUCUCAGCCCGUCUCCGAGGAAUUGUAGAGUGAAGGCUGAAAGGGCCGCCUUUUCCAUAGGACGGUCACAGGUCCCACUGGCUGCAGGUAGUGUCCCGCUGAUGCCCCUCAUCCCCACCCAUGGGUAGGCUGGGGAAGAUGGAAUCUUCUCAUUGGUCCUAGGGGCUGCCCCAGGAGUCUAGAUACAAAUGUUUCACUUCCCCAGGAGGCUACAGCUGCUCUUGGGGGGCUGUGGGGUGAAGAUGGGGUCCAAGUUCUGUCCAGAGUCCGAGUCUGAGUCUGGUGGCUACCCCGUCAUCUCCUGCAAGGUGGAGUGGUCACGCACUGUCUGGGUGCUGAGAUAUAAGCCCCGCAGGGACAGCGCUGAGCAGAGGAGGCCACAGCCCGACCUGCAGCAGCCCAGCCCCUGGGACUCCACUCGCCUUCUACCUGCUCAUCUCCGCUCCAGGAGCUCUCGCCAUGGUGACGGUGCGCAGGCCGUGGCCCGCCGUGGCCACAGUGCUGCUGGCCCUGCUCGCCUGCCUGGGGGCGCUGGUCCACGCCUACCCCGCCAAACCCGAGGCUCCCGGCGAAGACGCCUCGCCCGAGGAGCUGAGCCGCUACUACGCGUCGCUGCGCCACUACCUCAACCUGGUCACUCGGCAGCGGUACGGGAAACGCGACAGCCCCGAAGCGGUGCUCUCGAAACUGCUCUUCCCCGACGGCGAGGACCGCCGGGCCAAGUCAUGGCCAGGAGGCGAGUACAUGUGGUGACGACCCCAAGGGCUCCUGGGAGAUAUGCUAACUACACCGACCUCAUUUGCAUGCUUGCUCCUGACCCUGGACCCUGGGUUCCUCUCCCUGCCUGCUGCGCCUGGGGUGUGGGUGCGGGAUGGGGAUGGGGAUGGGGUCUUCAUUCCACUUCUCCGUGUCCCCAGCCCCUGGGCUGGCGGGCUGUGUGUGGUCUUACCCUGGUCCCCAAAUAAAGAGCAAAUUUCACUGAAACGGAAUGUGUGC